rnacentral:lncRNA from 1 species
UGGCAUGCGUGCUGCUGGAGGAACAGAUGAUCCGGGUCAAUUUUCUGGUGUUGUUUUGAUGAAGUGAUUAAGGUAUCCCUUGUACAAUUAGGUAUAAUACUGUGUGCAGGAUAUAUAUAUAUAUACACCAAUCCCGUUCUUCUGGUCCACGGGGACUAGGGAGUUUCUUGGUCACCUUGGGGUCACACACCAUCCAACCAACGAGGUCGUCUGAGGACCUCCGUAGCCAAAUUUUUC